rnacentral:tRNA from 1 species
AGAUAUAUAUUUAAAACAUAAAGUUUGACUUGCUAUCAAAAAUUAUUGGUAAAACCAAUUAUAUCUA